GUGCCCCGUCCUUUAGUUAGAGAGUAUUCCAUGCCUUAACUGACGGUGACGGUGGUUGGAUUGGGAUCACAUUCCUUUCGGCUUCAUUAAAUAUUAAAUAUAGUCAAUUGUAAAUUGAUGUAAUGGCGAAAAAAUAUAUAGCGUUGUCAUCCUUGGCUGAAGAAAUUAAAUGUAUUGAAAAAUCAAAUGCUCAAUCUGAUUUUCUUUCCCUUUGCAAGGAUUAUCGUGGGGAUGCAUGACUUACUUAAACGUAUUAUGACUUGCAUUGAGCGAGGUGCAGACAUCAAUCAAACUGAUACUAAUAAGAAAAAUGCAAUUCAGUUGUUAUGUGAAAACUACAACGCGAAAGAUUUUAUGCAAAUCAUGGCUUGUAUUAUUCAAAACGGAUUUGAUAUCAAGAAACACAACUCUUCGGUUCUCAGGUGUGUUUUAGACAGCUCAAUGGACAGAAGCCAACAGGAUGAAGUGCUGAGACUCCUGACUCGAUAUGGCAUUAUUAUUCGCCAUCUUCCAACUUUCGAAAACUCCGUAACAAAGAUAACCCCUAAAUAAUUAGAGUCAACUUCUUAAUAGCAACUCGCACCAGAUGGCCACCAAGUUCUUUAGUGUGCGGCACUGCGGCCCUGGGUUGUUUUCGGCGUUCCUCUGCUGGACGAUUGUCGUACACACUGUGAGCCACGAAAAAGAAUGUUAAAAAGUAUCGUCGUUUAUCAAUUGGAUUUCUCGUGUGAUAUUGAGUCUUGUCUCACGAGGUAUACAGUUGCGAUGGAAACUACACAGCAUUAUUUUGAUAUAAAGAAAGAUAGCUUUUUGUUUUUGUUUUGUUUAGUGAACAACAUCCGGAGCGCAAAUGUUUAGAGAAUGAGUGAUUUUCGACGGACUUAUGUAUAAAGAAUGCAAUUUUUCACUGUACACUUGUAUACAAGAAAACAGGUGGUCGUCGCAAUGCAUCUGAACUUGAAAACACGAGAGAAUUUUUAAAAAG